UAGUUGUUGUUGAAUAGCAUGCGUCUUCUGCGUACUAUAAACACGGAUUGUGUAAUUUGAUUUUCAAGAUUUCACUUCUACAAGAGUGCACCAGUGGUGAAGUAUAAACAGGCAGAUGCGGUGGUUAUCGUUCCAAGCGUAGUAUAGCAGACGCUCCUAGCGAAGUUAAGAGCAGACCCACUUGAAUUUUAUGGCAGAAACAUUAGCUGUCGGCUGCGCGAACCACUAAAAACACGCAAAGAAAUGAAACCAACUGCCGAGGAACGUUGAAAAGAUUGAUUCCGCCAUUAUUCAUAUUUAAAGGGUAACAGGAAACAAGGAGCUACAGUUGCAGCACUUAGUAGUUGCAAAGGCUGCCAGUGUUUCCCUCUUCAUCCGUCUAUCCAGUGUUGUAUUUCAGAAAUAAGUUUGAAGAAUAUGGUCUGUGUAGGCAACAUCUGUAUACCACUAUACCUGACGAGGACUUACACACGCAUGUUCGCAGAUAGACACAGGGCCAUCCCCUUCUGGGCCAACAUAAUGUGCAGGGAUUGCUUGCAUCUGAAGAACUGGUGGUGCAGCGCAGCAGGUUUCAGAAUCCCUAACGAGUGUAACCGAAGCAGCUGUGGCCAUGAGGUGGAGUUUAGCGAUUCAUAGACGAUCAUACAGCAUAACUGGAUCAAAUGCAUUGUGGGACAUUGAUGGCAACAACAAAUUCCCCAUUCACCUUGCAAAAUAUUCUAUAUUUACCUCAUUUCAGAUAUAAAAAUAUCCCCUUAUAUUCAAGCAUAUCGAAUGAUCUAGACCCAGAUUUGUCAAGUUGAAGUUCACAAUGUUUACAAUUAAUUGAAAUUGUUUCAGGCAAAAAGCAAUACACAUUUCGUAUGAUUUCAAACACUUUUAGUGGGAUUAGUAUUUAUAGUGUUUUCGCGUGUUCUUAAUACAUGUAAUUACAUCUUUAAAAUACUACGCGUUGCAUCUGCUUCAUAUCGUAUGAGAAAAGGGAUUCAGAAAUAUGGAUAAUUUGGUUUCUUUCCUCAGGUAUGUAAUCUAAAAUAAGAAUUAUAUCAACGUAUGACUUUGAAAAAAGGCGUAGUUCCACUAUUAUUUUAAUUCAAACUGCAAACGUGACAUACAACAAAGUUGAAUAACAACACUUGAUUGCUAAGCACUAGAGUAUAAAGUAUUUUUAAAUAGAUUGAAUGCAUUUAUGUGUAUGCCAAUCUUCAACACACAAUUCAUUAUAUUUAAUAAUGCUUGCCUCGAACGGAGUAUCCACUAAAUCCGAUUUAUUCUAAAGAUACCAACUGGUACAACAAACAUAAAAAGUUACCAUCACAAAACGUAUUUUGUUGGUUUCAAGCAGGUGUAAUUUUUAUACGAAAUUAUUUUCAUUAAAAAUUAUAUGUGUUAUAUGCCAGUCUUUAAACACAUUUUUAGAACUACUGCUCCGAUGCACACAUUUCAAGAUGUUUUGCAUGUUCCACCUUAAGCCGGGUUUGAUUACUUUUUUCCAUUUUGCAGUUGUAUGUUCAUGACCUUGCUAUUUAUUGCCUUCUUAGUUAAUAGCAGGACACUCAUUUCUAAUCUAUUUGAGAUAUGUCCAAGAAUUACUUGAAAUCCGACUUACUGUUAUUCAAAUGUGUAAUGCAACGAUCAAAGUAAUUGAAACAGGAAAUAUCUUUAAAAAAAGAUAGACGGCGUUGAUAUUGGUCGAUGUUCAUUAACGAUCAGAAGUUAUAUCUAUGAGCUCAAAGAUAGCGAAUCCCAUUUUUUGCGCAGUUCUUAGCUGCAUCAUACGAAAAUCAAUGAAGGUGUGCUGCGCCAGAUUUCGUGGCUUGUUUCCCUUUAUUAGAUAUAAUUGAUCAGGCGUAACAUAAUUGACCAACACAAGAAGACGGAAAAUAAAGGAAAGCAUGCUGUAUAGGUCAGCCGGCACCACAUGAAUCAUCCGUACAUAUUUGAAAUAUUUAUACAUUAUCGUGAAUCAUAUCACGUAUGCUCAGUAAAUUGGUCUACAUGGUGGAAUAUGUCUAAUUUAAUUAAUCGAAACUAGUACCUCUUAUGUCAUUGUUGAAAAUGUUAAGUAUAUAUUAUUUACAUACCAUUAUAAUACCAAAUAAUACCUUUUCUGUCAAAAUAAACUUAAAGUUCACCUAGUUACCUUG